ACAGAUGGACCCGCGGCGCAUUAGCUAGUUGGUGGGGUAAUGGCUCACCAAGGCGACGAUGCGUAGCCGACUGAGAGGGUGAUCGGCCACACUGGGACUGAGACACGGCCCAGACUCCUACGGGAGGCAGCAGUAGGGAAUCUUCCGCAAUGGACGAAAGUCUGACGGAGCAACGCCGCGUGAGUGAUGAAGGUUUUCGGAUCGUAAAGCUCUGUUGUUAGGGAAGAACAAGUGCGAGAGUAACUGCUCGCACCUUGACGGUACCUAACCAGAAAGCCACGGCUAACUACGUGCCAGCAGCCGCGGUAAUACGUAGGUGGCAAGCGUUGUCCGGAAUUAUUGGGCGUAAAGGGCUCGCAGGCGGUUUCUUAAGUCUGAUGUGAAAGCCCCCGGCUCAACCGGGGAGGGUCAUUGGAAACUGGGAAACUUGAGUGCAGAAGAGGAGAGUGGAAUUCCACGUGUAGCGGUGAAAUGCGUAGAGAUGUGGAGGAACACCAGUGGCGAAGGCGACUCUCUGGUCUGUAACUGACGCUGAGGAGCGAAAGCGUGGGGAGCGAACAGGAUUAGAUACCCUGGUAGUCCACGCCGUAAACGAUGAGUGCUAAGUGUUAGGGGGUUUCCGCCCCUUAGUGCUGCAGCUAACGCAUUAAGCACUCCGCCUGGGGAGUACGGUCGCAAGACUGAAACUCAAAGGAAUUGACGGGGGCCCGCACAAGCGGUGGAGCAUGUGGUUUAAUUCGAAGCAACGCGAAGAACCUUACCAGGUCUUGACAUCCUCUGACAACCCUAGAGAUAGGGCUUUCCCUUCGGGGACAGAGUGACAGGUGGUGCAUGGUUGUCGUCAGCUCGUGUCGUGAGAUGUUGGGUUAAGUCCCGCAACGAGCGCAACCCUUGAUCUUAGUUGCCAGCAUUUAGUUGGGCACUCUAAGGUGACUGCCGGUGACAAACCGGAGGAAGGUGGGGAUGACGUCAAAUCAUCAUGCCCCUUAUGACCUGGGCUACACACGUGCUACAAUGGACAGAACAAAGGGCUGCGAGACCGCAAGGUUUAGCCAAUCCCAUAAAUCUGUUCUCAGUUCGGAUCGCAGUCUGCAACUCGACUGCGUGAAGCUGGAAUCGCUAGUAAUCG
rnacentral:rRNA from 1 species